ACGCUCGACACCUACGGGGGCAGCAGUGGGGAAUAUUGCACAAUGGGGGAAACCCUGAUGCAGCGACGCCGCGUGGAGGAAGAAGGUCUUCGGAUUGUAAACUCCUGUUGUUGGGGAAAAAGAGGAUGGUACCCAACAAGGAAGUGACGGCUAACUACGUGCCGNCACGCCGGAGUAUCNGNGGCGGNGUGAGAG
rnacentral:rRNA from 1 species